ACGGAAGGCAGCAGUGGGGAAUAUUGCACAAUGGGGGAAACCCUGAUGCAGCGACGCCGCGUGAAGGAAGAAGUAUCUCGGUACGUAAACUUCUAUCAGCAGGGAAGAUAAUGACGGUACCUGACUAAGAAGCCCCGGCUAACUACGUGCCAGCAGCCGCGGUAAUACGUAGGGGGCAAGCGUUAUCCGGAUUUACUGGGUGUAAAGGGAGCGUAGACGGAUCGGCAAGUCUGAUGUGAAAGGCUGGGGCUCAACCCCGGGACUGCAUUGGAAACUGUCGGUCUUGAGUGCCGGAGGGGUAAGCGGAAUUCCUAGUGUAGCGGUGAAAUGCGUAGAUAUUAGGAGGAACACCAGUGGCGAAGGCGGCUUACUGGACGGUAACUGACGUUGAGGCUCGAAAGCGUGGGGAGCAAACAGGAUUAGAUACCCUGGUA
rnacentral:rRNA from 1 species